rnacentral:rRNA from 1 species
GAUGAACGCUGACAGAAUGCUUAACACAUGCAAGUCAACUUGAACUUCGGUUUGGGUGGCGGACGGGUGAGUAACGCGUAAAGAACUUGCCUCACAGCUAGGGACAACAUUUGGAAACGAAUGCUAAUACCUGAUAUUAUGAUUUUAGGGCACCCUAGAAUUAUGAAAGCUAUAUGCGCUGUGAGAGAGCUUUGCGUCCCAUUAGCUAGUUGGAGAGGUAACGGCUCACCAAGGCGAUGAUGGGUAGCCGGCCUGAGAGGGUGAACGGCCACAAGGGGACUGAGACACGGCCCUUACUCCUACGGGAGGCAGCAGUGGGGAAUAUUGGACAAUGGACCAAGAGUCUGAUCCAGCAAUUCUGUGUGCACGAUGAAGUUUUUCGGAAUGUAAAGUGCUUUCAGUUGGGAAGAAAAAAAUGACGGUACCAACAGAAGAAGUGACGGCUAAAUACGUG